AUGAUUCAACAUGCUCUUCAACAAGUGGAAGAGAAGACUAAAAUCCGUGAUGAAAUUCGAGCUGAAAGCCAGACUAAAAAGGCCAGUUGUAAAGAGUAUGGGCAAGAAUUUAGAGCAGCAGUACAAGAAGAGAGAGCUGCGAGAGAUUUGCUUAAAUCCAAACGGCAUGAGAUGGAUUCAGUUCAAUCCACCAUGAAUAGAUUAAAUAAUGCAAUUUCUGUAGGGGAUAUCGAUAGCAAGAUUAGAAACAUGGAACACAUGAUUCAACAUGAAACUCUGCCUCUAAAAGAAGAAAAGCAAUUGAUAAGGGUUUAUUCUCCAAUUAAAAUUUGA
rnacentral:lncRNA from 1 species